ensembl:lncRNA
ACUUUUGAUCAAUUUAAUGCAUCCUUGGCAGAAAAAACAGAGGUACUGAGUGAAGACCUGCUGCAGGUGGAGAAGCGUUUAGAUCUGGUAAAGCAGGUCUCUCAUAGCACACAUAAGAAGCUGACCGCCUGUCUGCAGGGACAACAAGGCGCCGAUUUAGACAAGAGAUCAAAAAAGUUGCCCCUGACGAUACUUGCUCAGUGUAUGGUGGAGGGAGCGGCUGUGUUAGGAGACGACUCUCUUCUUGGUAAGAUGCUGAAGCUCUGUGGUGAGACAGAGGAGAAGUUGGCCCAAGAGCUGCUCGUCUUUGAGCUUCAGAUUGAAAGAGAUGUUGUGGAGCCUCUGUAUGUGCUGGCUGAGGUGAUGAGCAUUAACAGCAAACUUGUCUUGGACAUGGAUUCUGCGAGGACACGGUGGCAACAGUCAUACAAAUCGUCAGGUCACCCCAGUAAUGUGCAGCAGGGCGGAGCUAAGGCGGAUUCCUUGAGAGAGGAAAUGGAAGAGACGGCCAAUCGGAUGGAGAUCUGCAGGGACCAGUUAUCAGCGGAUAUGUACAACUUUGUGGCCAAAGAAAUAGACUAUGCAAACUACUUUCAAACGCUCAUAGAAGUUCAGGCGGAGUAUCACAGGAAGUCUUUGGAGAUUCUGCAGAGUGUGCUGCCACAGAUCAAAGCUCACCAGGAGGCCUGGAUAGAGAAGCCAUCGUAUGGAAAGGCCCUAGAGGAACAUCUAGCCAUCAGUGGCAGGGAGAUUGCGUUUCCUAUCGAGGCGUGUGUCACCAUGCUGCUCGAAUGUGGCAUGGAGGAAGAGGGUUUAUUUCGGGUGGCCCCCUCAGCCUCCAAGCUGAAGAAACUGAAGGCAUCACUGGACUGCGGGGUCCUGGAUGUGCAGGAGUACUCGGCCGACCCACAUGCCAUCGCAGGAGCCUUGAAGUCUUAUCUUCGUGAACUUCCUGAACCUCUAAUGACCUUUGAACUCUAUGAUGAAUGGAUUCAAGCUUCAAAUAUUCAAGAUAUGGAUAAAAGACUCCAAGCCCUUUUGUGUACAUGUGAGAAACUACCAGCAGACAGUCUAAACAAUCUCAGAUAUUUAAUAAAAUUCUUAGCCAAACUCACGGAGCAUCAAGACGCUAAUAAAAUGACGCCAGGUAAUAUUGCAAUAGUUCUUGGACCCAACCUGCUGUGGACACAUUCAGAAGGGAACAUGACGGAAAUGAUGACCACCAUGUCCCUGCAAAUCGUCGGCAUCAUUGAGCCGAUCAUCCAGCACGCUGACUGGUUCUUCCCUGGAGAUAUUGAGUUCAAUCUGACAGGCAGCUACGGCAGCCCGGUCCACACCAACCACAACUCAAACUACAGCUCUAUGCCCUCACCCGAUAUGGACCAAUCAGAGCGCAAGCAGCAGCAUGACCAGAGCCGACGCCCACUCAGUGUUGCUACUGACAACAUGAUGCUGGAAUUCUACAAGAAGGAUGGCAUUAGGAAAAUUCAAAGUGUGGGUGUCAGAGUCAUGGACACAUCGUGGGUGAAGGGCAAAAGUUCCUCUACACUGGCCCGCAAAGCCUCAUCCACGCCUCCCAGCGCACAACCACCCGGCUCUCCUGCGGACACGCUGAUCACUGAGCAGCCCGUCAUGUUUGUCUCUCUCUCCAGCACUCUGAAGAGCAAGGAGCUCUCUCCUGUGAUUGGCCACAAAGCUAUGCAGGCAUCAGGAGUAACAGUGCCCCCUGUCAGCGGUCAGCAGAGCAACAGCCAGUCUCCCCACUCUGCCGAGCACAGCCCCCACACCUUACGUAAUGCCUCUAAGAAACUGGCCCCUGUGCCGCCCAAGGUUCCAUACGGCCAGUCGGGGGGGAUGUCAGACCAAUCCACAGGUCAGCCGUCUCCGGUCAGCCUGUCCCCCACUCCCCCAAGUACCCCCUCCCCAUACGGUUUGGGCUGUCCCCCUGGACACGCGCCCACCUCUUCCCCUGGCCAGACCCCAUUAGGGGGAUCCCAUACGUUGUCCUCACUGCCCUCUCUGACUGGUACGCUCACAAAGUCCCGACCCACCCCAAAGCCCAGACAGAGACCCAGUCUACCCCCUCCCCAGCCACCCACCGUCCCCCCUACGGCCCCCCAGCCCCUGGAGCAGGGUCUACUUGACGGAUUGUCCCCCGGGGAGAGCAUGUCCACAGGUAAACAUGCCUCAGUGGCAACAUCCCAAGUGGGAGGCCAGCGUCCCUCUCUCAAACUGUCUGUAGUCUUGUACCAAUUUCAUGCUAUUGCUUGA